rnacentral:misc_RNA from 1 species
AAGUCGUAACAAGGUUUCCGUAGGUGAACCUGCGGAAGGAUCAUUAGAAAGUCUGUUUGCCGCGGAGACGCGCGUGAACCUACCUUCAAACCACUGUGAAACCACCCGUUGCUUCGCGGCACGCCUCCCCCACCCCCCCUCCGGGGGGCGGUCCGGCCGUCAGUCUGCAGAAGCCCAAAGCCAAAAACUUCUUUGUAACAGUCUGUCUGAAACUAUGAAUUAAAAUUCGUUAAAA